rnacentral:rRNA from 1 species
ACGUAGGUGGCAAGCGUUAUCCGGAUUUACUGGGCGUAAAGAGGGCGCAGGCGGCCUUUCAAGUCGGAUGUAAAAUCUCCUGGCUUAACUGGGAGGGCGCAUUCGAAACUGUUGGGCUUGAGUGCAGCAGAGGAAAGCGGAAUUCCCGGUGUAGUGGUGAAAUGCGUAGAUAUCGGGAGGAACACCAGUGGCGAAGGCGGCUUUCUGGGCUGCCACUGACGCUGAGGCCCGAAAGCGUGGGGAGCAAACA